GCCUCUCCGCGGCCGCCGGCCACAGCCACCACCACCGCGAGCCGCGCUCGCUGCCCGGCGCCGCCCUGGCGCUGCUCGGCUUCGCGCUCAUCGCCGCCAUGCAGCUCACCGUGGUCCAUCACCACCAUCAUCACGACGGAGACGAGGACGUGGGCAACAUGACGUCACAGAGCAACAGCAGCGAGAUGGAGCGACACGUCCACCUGUGAAGUCAGCGGUUCUCAUCGUUGGACAUUCAAAAGCAGCAAAUGUACAUGAAUCGUUUGAAGUGCGCUGUGUCACAGUUUUACCAACAUACUUUCGACAGUGACAGGUCUAUUGUUAGACAGAGGUGACGAAAGAUUUUAUUCCACAAAAGACAAAUGGACAUUAAAGGAAGAGUCACAUGUGUACGACACUUCAGUCUACGAUCUCAGGGAUCGUGCUGGCAGAAGAAGUUAUGUAACGAGCUUCCGAGAAUUCGUUAGUAUUGAUAAAUAUAUUUCAUCUAUUUAUAAAAGUAUUUUGUUAUAGGUGAAUCAAGGUAUGGGAUUAUUUACCUACUCAAAAAUGUGCAUCUGGCUUAAGAGUACCAAAUUAUCUUUAAAAAUUGUGAGAGAAUCUCCGUCCAGUGUCGACAGACAGUCAAAACUAGCAAGUCUGAUGUCAGUGCCUCAUACUAGUGUCAGGAAAAAAUAAAUAACCAUUCUAUGCUAUUUAUAUCACAAUAGACACAUAAAAAAACAUACGACAUUCUUUCUGUGUACACGUACUCUUUUAAUCCAAUGUGCCUUCAGAAACAAGAAAUUCAGAAACUCUGUGGCGCAUGUAUUCUAUGAUAUCUGUGGUAAAAGCAAGGAAAAAAGGCUACCCCAUUAUGUCUGCCUAUUGUUACUAUUGUAUCUAAAGUAUCUUCAGAAAGAAAACUUUUAUGCGCUGCUGGACUUUUAUCAUGAGGAUAGGGCAUGUUUAGUAAGACUAACAUUUUCCAUUUGUUGAGGUUCGAAAGAGACACUGCUUAAUAUCUAAGUUUAAUUUCAGAGUGAUUGUAUGAAGCGGGUAGUCUUACAUUUUGCCCAAGGAAACAAACCCAAAUGCCGUUUCUGUGGAAGGUUAUUCCCAAUAAAAUAGUUACUGUAUUUGAUGAACACCAGUCCACGUAUAUUUAAGGGGCAAGAUAAAGUAUUCCAUAAGUAUUGUACAACAAAUAAAACACUACGUUAAAUAACAAUAUAUUCAUAAUGAUCUGAAGUUUGUCGGAAUAAAUUACAAAGAGUUACAAGUAACUGAA